UACGGGGGGAGCAAGCGUUGUUCGGAUUUACUGGGCGUAAAGGGCGCGUAGGCGGCAAUUCAAGUCAGCUGUGAAAUCUCCGGGCUUAACUCGGAACGGUCAGCUGAUACUGCUUUGCUAGAGUGCAGAAGGGGCAAUCGGAAUUCUUGGUGUAGCGGUGAAAUGCGUAGAUAUCAUUUGGAACGCCAAUGGUGAAAACAGGUAGCUGGGAGUGUGCUGACGCUGAGACACGAAAGCCAGGGGAGCGAACGGG
rnacentral:rRNA from 1 species